AAUGAAAAAUCUGUAUUCUGUUGAAUAUAUCGGAUUCUUAAAACCCCAUCUGUGUACCACAACCCGUUGCUUCCGCUGGGCAGUGAUAUCCCGUCGGUCGACACCCUACCCUCCGGGGGUGAGAAGGUCGUCACGGCUGGAUGGACAAGUCCCGGCGAAAGGUCCGCAUUAAACCUUUGCAUUUCCAUUGCCGCCUGUCUGAACCUUUUUAUAUAACAAAUGUUAA
rnacentral:misc_RNA from 1 species